rnacentral:rRNA from 1 species
AGUGAACGCUGGCGGCGUGUCUAAUACAUGCAAGUCGAACGGAGUGGCGCACGGGUGCGUAAUGUAUAGCUAAUCUGCCCUACACUAGAGGACAACAGUUGGAAACGACUGCUAAUACUCUAUAGUGUAGGAUGAGGCUAUAUUGUAUCACCUAGUUGGUGAGGUAAUGGCUCACCAAGGCUAUGACGCAUAACUGGUCUGAGAGGAAGAUCAGUCACACUGGAACUGAGAACCGGUCCAGAGUACUACGGGAGGCAGCAGUAGGGAAUAUUGCUCAAGGGGGGAUACCCUGAAGCAGCAACGCCGCGUGGAGGAUGACACUUAUCGGAGCGUAAACGCCUUUUGUAAGGGAAGCGGUACCUAACGAAAAAGCACCGGCUAACUCCGUGCAAGCGGCCGCGGUAAUC